AAUUUGCAUAUGAAUAAAAAUCUCCAGAUAAAAAGGACCCAUUUCCUCCCCAGUCUUCAGACCAGUUCAAAUCAAAGUUGGCAAAGGAACGAAGUGUUGAAUUUUCUACCAAAAUGAACCCGAAAUUUGGUUUAUUCCUUGUUCUCCUUGUUUUGGGAGCUUUCCACUAUUCCUUGGUGGAAGCUCAAGGAACAUUUGUCGACGCGUGUAACGAAGUGUGCAAUCGCAGUUCACCCGAACGAAAGGAAUGUUGUCGAGCUCACGGGUACCCUCUGGGCAGAAGGUUUAACUGCAAUGGGGGCAGAAUGAUUUGCUACUGAGCAAGGAAACAAUACUAUCAAGGCUGUAUCGACAUUGUCAAAAUUCGAAAAAAAUAAUGCGGUAACUAAUAAACAAUUUUUUGGAAAAACCAUCCGGCCCAGACAACAUUUUUAAUUAAUUUUUAAAAUCACUUCAUAAUUUGGUUUUUAUUUAUGGACAUUUAGAACCCACAAAAAUUCUCUACUUAGGUACUUUUAAUAAAAAAUAUGUAAAUUAUUUAAAACACAUGAAUAUUAUGCAUUCAGAGUUUUACAACCGUCUUGGAAAUAUUAGUCCCGGAUGGCAGUAAAAAAUCCAGGUGUCAAGAUCUUGGGUUUUCUAACCCCAAAACUGAACUUUUCUUUCAACUUUACGUGAUUUAUUUAUUAUUACUCUAUAAUAACCUGCAAAAAUAAAAAAUAAAACCCCAAUGGCCCAACAGCACCCAAAAAAUUGCCAUUUCCUUCAGUUGUUUUUUCAGUUGUCAAUAACUAAAUAAAAUCCGAAGGACUGCAGAA